GAAAGAGCAGGCGGAAGUGACGCAGACCCCGCGAUGCUGGGCUUGGUUUUUCCGGCUUUCUGUCGCCGUUCGGGGUCUCCGGUUUGGGCUGCCGCGGCGGGACGAAGACAUGCCAUGCCCCGGAAGGGGAAAGCACAAACGAAGGACUUGGUUAAGCCUUCUGCUCCUCCAGUUCCAGUGACGAAGGAUAAAAAUGGUUCUGUUGUUAUUUCUGUUCAUGCCAAACCAGGAUCUAAACAAAAUGCUGUAACAGAUCUGACCACUGAUGCAGUAAGCGUGUCCAUCGCAGCCCCUCCAUCCGAAGGGGAAGCCAACGCAGAGCUCUGUCGCUACCUCUCUAAAAUCCUCGAAGUCAAGAAGAAUGAUGUGGUGUUGGAGAAGGGGAGUAAAUCUCGAGAAAAAGUGGUGAAAAUUUUGGCCCCGCUGACUCCAGAGGACGUUUUAGAGAAGCUGAGGAAAGAGUGUUCCAGCUGAAGCUAGGCCUAACCAAAGCCUUAACAAGUCGUUUCUCCAGCCGCAAAGAAUGACUUCAUUUCGGGGUACAGUGGGUUUUUCCCCCCGCCCUACAUCGCUCCCAUGCCAAGACCUGAGCUUUGUAUUAUUGGAUGCAGAAAAUGUGUCUUCAGCUUUAUAUUUGCAUUUGUGAAACUGUCGGUCCCUUAAUUUGUUUCCAUCGCAUGGAAGAAACAAUAAUGUGCCUCCCCUUUGAAUGAGAGAAUUAGGCUUUUAAGGCAGUCUGGAUUCUGGUUUUGCAACAUCCUGCCCCUGCAUCUCCCCCUCGUUCCACAGGAGGAAUCUUGACUGAAAUAUUUAGAAAUAAAGGGGUCCCUGCAGAUUUUACUCUGCUAAUCGGCACUGUAUAGGGGGCGGUGCUCAGCUCAAGGCAAUUGAGCCAUUGAGGCACUAUCCGAAGAUAUUUCUGCACUCAUCUGACCAACAUGACAUCACAGAGAACUCUUACCUUCCUAUCAAAGUGGUACCCAUUUAUCUACUUGCCUUUGCAUGCUUUUGAACUACUCAGUUGACAGGAGCUGGGUUGAGAAGGGGAGCUCACGACUCGAAAUGGAGACAUUUGGAGUCCCUUAAAUCUCUCCUUCUCACCAUGUUGUGGUUUUUUUGUUGUUGUCGUCCUGAUGCUAGACACAAUACCUCACUACUUUUAAAAUAAAACUGGCUGAUAUUUUGUCUGUUGGAUUUUA